rnacentral:rRNA from 1 species
GAUGAACGCUGGCGGCGUGCCUAAUACAUGCAAGUCGAGCGAACGGACGAUAAGCUUGUUCUUCUGAUGUUAGCGGCGGGCGGGUGAGUAACACGUGGAUAACCUACUUCUAUGACUGGGAUAACUUCGUGAAACCGCAGCUACUACUGGAUCAUAUUUUGUACCGCAUGAUUCAAAAGUUAAAGACGGUCUUGCUGAUACUUAUAGACGGAUCCGCGCUGCAUAAGCUAGUUGGUAAGGUAACGGCUUACCAAGGCAACGAUGCAUAGCCGACCUGAGAGGAUGAUCGGCCACACUGGAACUGAGACACGGUCCAGACUCCUACGGGAGGCAGCAGUAGGGAAUCUUCGGCAAUGGGCGAAAGCCUGACGGAGCAACGCCGCGUGAGUGAUGAAGGCCUUCGGGUCGUAAAACUCUGUUAUUGGGGAAGAACAGAUGUGUAAGUAACUGUGCAUAUCUUGACGGUACCUAAACAGAAAGCACCGGCUAACUACGUG